GGUGUGUGGUGUUUGUGUGUGGGGUUCGGUGAGCGCUGCGGAGCCGGGUCAAGGUACUCCCAGCUGCCCGGGCCGACCCCUGCGGCUGCUGGGCCUCGGCGUCCCGGAGCGGUGUCGGUGCUCGGCUUGGCACUGUCAGUGCCCGCCAUGCCCCGUGAGGGUCGGGCAGCGGCACCGCUGGUGCGCAGCCUGUGGGGGAAAAGCUGUCCUCGAAUGAGGGGUGGGCGGGAUGCGGCCCCGCGGGGAUCUUGAAAUAAUAUUAAAAAUGCAAGCAAUAAAGUUGUUUUAGUCCAUGAUUGUAUUGCUCUUAUGUUCUAUUAGUAUUUUGCAUUAGACUAUUUAUUUUUAAAGUUUCUCUCUAGAUAAAUAGUGUUUAUUCAUUGUAGGUCUGGGCCCACAGAAAACAUAAAGCCCUGGGACUGGAGCCAGAGCCAAAUCCAAGUGGAUCUGAAAUAAAUCCCACAGGGAAGGGGAUGGAGCUGCCCAGGGCUUCCAGCCCAGCCAGUGGUGCCAAGCGCAAGCCAGGGGUGGAAUCUUGGGGGGUUCCUGGGGCUCAGAACCAGCCCAAGAGCACAUUUUGGGCUCUGGGCUGCAGUGAGAACCAGGAGCAGCUUUUAGCUGGAGGCACUGGGAAGCUGAGGAGAUGGAGCUGAGGCAGCACAGCUGGCAAGACAAACAUGCUUCUCCCCACUCCUCUGGCAGUGAGGGCCCUGUGCAGUGGAGCAGGACAUGUGUUUAUGGGGCACACGGGACACAUCCCCUGCUGCCAUUCACCGUCUGUGUGGGCAGGCAUCAAUCAAGCUGAAAAACACACAUGAAGAGAAAACUCCCUGAGGAGCUCACAGAGACAGGAGUUCCCUUCUCUUUGAAUUGCCAUUUGUAUUCCGAGAAUUGUGUAAACAUUAAAUAUUUAAAACAUUGCCUGUAGCGCUCUUGUUUCUCGG
rnacentral:lncRNA from 1 species